GCACAGAUUACAAGCUUCAGUUUCCCAAACUGCUACACCUGUGUCAUAAUAACUGACUCUGAAAGAGAAAAACUACGACUAUGACUACGACAGUGUUAAGAGGCACUGUCAUAAGGGAACAUAAAAGCUGAGGUGGACACUCGCACUUGAACCCGCCGACCAGCAGGUUGACACAGGUGCCGCCAUUCUUACAGACUCCGGGAGCACAGCGGCCCGAGCGGGACGACAGCUCGCAGCGUUCGCCUGGACACAGAGAGCGACGGGUCACAUGGAGCUGAGUGGUGGAGCGAAAUAGACGACUACAGUCCCGCAAAGGACACAGUUAUCAAUUUGAAGAGCAGUAGAGCAGUGUGCCAGAGGUGCACAGACAAUGAGACUGUGUCCCUGUCGGGCCUUCGUCCCCCCUCGGCCCUGCAGCCCAGCUCACUUGUGCAGUUUGUCUGGAUCCUCCGCAGCAGUUGCUCAGGCGAGACUGCACAUUCUCGCAUGCGUGAGCUGGAAUUUGUGUCAAAGCCUCUCAGUCAGCAGUGUGGAAGACUUCCUCUGUGUACUACAGCACUACUGUAACACUGGCACACAACACACACAGCCAACAUCUUCAUCCAACACCGCUGACACAGAGGCCUUUUAUUUACUCUCUGAUUGUUAAUGACUCUAUCCUGGGUCUGCUGAAAACAAGUUUCUUUGUUUUCUUACUGUUCUUGGGGUACAUCUAUUCAGCCAAUGUAAAUUCAACAGAUGCUGCAUGAGACCUCUGAGAUGAAUUUUUUUGGGGGGAGAAUUUGGGACAGCAGAACAAAUAAACAGCAAUAAAACUUUCAGUUUCAGCAGUUUGAACCAAGGGAACAGGAAUUAGAAAUGAAACUUAGUCUCAGACAUCAUUAUUUAAGUUUUAAGAGCAGUAGUAAUACAAAAACCUUUGGUUUGUGGGCCCACAUUUAGCCGGUUUACAUCUUCUAUCAGCAUGGCUUGUAUUGCCUGCUUAGAUCUUAAAUUCCCAAAAGAGAAACUCCUCCCAUGAACUGUUGACCUCGAAGAAGAAAGCUGCAGAGCAUCAAGGCAAAGCUUUUGGUUAAAGAUUGACUAACAUUUAUUACUGCAGGAGUGACGACUUAUUGUUGAGAUGGAAAACCCUGAACCUCCUCUUACAAGAGGUUUUAUUACUGGAGCUUUCUUUGACUUGUAUAUUCACAGCCGUGAGUCCCUAAGGGUCUUUUUUGUUAUAUGAUUUAAUCUAUUGAUCUGCAAGAUGCCAAUAAAUUGCCCUUUAACCUAAAGCCAUAACUGACAACCUCAUAAGUGUGCUCUGCUCAUAAGGGGUGCAAAACCUGUAACAUGUUUCUGUGCCACUCUGUUACAAAAGCAACAAAAUGGAGUGUAAUAGCAGCUCUACCCUGUCAGCCCGGGACAAUUUGCUGUCAUGUUCUUACUCAUGCGUCCUGAUGACAAACAGCCACUGCUGGCCAGUCGGCUGGAAAAUAAAGCCUUUCUGUUA